GAGAGGAAAAAGUUUGAAAGUUGAAGAAGCUAAAAAAUUUCGAUUUUUAAAAGUUGCUUAGUAAAAUUUUAAAUACUUUGACUUGGAUAGUUGGGGUUUUUUCUCAGUUCUAAAAAUAUUUUCUUGCUUUAUUUUUAUUUCGCGUGGCUGAGUGUCGAGGUUGGAAGCAUAAGGCUCCCAAGUCCAUUCUUUUCUUGGCUGCGCACAUAAAAGCCAUGUAUAUGGAUAUGUGGAUCUGUGUCUUCCAUGGCUAUGUUGGUUGAGAGAGGCAGUUUAGGUGGGAGGGGGGCUUAGUUUGAACCUUCCCCUGGUGACCAGCCAUGCUGGAGGUUCAUGAAACCUCUUGGAACUUGUGCGGCAUCAGGAACAAGGGGGGUGAUGACUUUGCCUUCCCACCAUCUAGGUUUGAGAUUGAGUUUAAGGACAUGGAAAUACAUAUGCACAUUAUGUGAGCUUGUGAAUAAA